GGAAGUUAAGAAAUUGUUUCUUAAUUUUUAACUAAAAAAGUUAAGAACCGGUUCUUAAAUAAAGAUUCUAAGAACUGGUUCUUAGUUUUUUAGUUAAAAGUUAAGAAACAAUUUCUUAACUUCC
rfam:Brassica oleracea var. oleracea cultivar TO1000 chromosome C8, whole genome shotgun sequence